GACGAACGCUGGCGGCGUGCUUAACACAUGCAAGUCGAACGGAAAGGCCCUGCUUUUGUGGGGUGCUCGAGUGGCGAACGGGUGAGUAACACGUGAGUAACCUGCCCUUGACUUUGGGAUAACUUCAGGAAACUGGGGCUAAUACCGGAUAGGAGCUCCUGCUGCAUGGUGGGGGUUGGAAAGUUUCGGCGGUUGGGGAUGGACUCGCGGCUUAUCAGCUUGUUGGUGGGGUAGUGGCUUACCAAGGCUUUGACGGGUAGCCGGCCUGAGAGGGUGACCGGCGACAUUGGGACUGAGAUACGGCCCAGACUCCUACGGGAGGCAGCAGUGGGGAAUAUUGCACAAUGGACGGAAGCCUGAUGCAGCAACGCCGCGUGCGGGAUGACGGCCUUCGGGUUGUAAACCGCUUUCGCCUGUGACGAAGCGUGAGUGACGGUAAUGGGUAAAGAAGCACCGGCUAACUACGUG
rnacentral:rRNA from 1 species